GUGAGGAAUAUUGCGCAAUGGAGGCAACUCUGACGCAGCCAUGCCGCGUGCAGGAAGAAGGCGCUACGCGUUGUAAACUGCUUUUAACCGGGAAGAAACCCCAGGACGUGUCCUGGGUUGACGGUACCGGAGGAAUAAGCACCGGCUAACUUCGUGCCAGCAGCCGCGGUAAUACGAAGGGUGCAAGCGUUAUCCGGAUUCAUUGGGUUUAAAGGGUGCGUAGGCGGAGCGUUAAGUCAGUGGUGAAAUCCUGCAGCUUAACUGUAGACUUGCCAUUGAUACUGGCGCUCUUGAGUGCGCUUGAAGUGGGCGGAAUGUGCCGUGUAGCGGUGACAUGCUUAGAUAUGGCACAGAACACCAAUUGCGAAGGCAGCUCACUAAGGCGAUACUGACGCUGAGGCACGAAAGCGUGGGGAUCGAACAGGAUUAGAAACCCUGGUAGUCC
rnacentral:rRNA from 1 species